rnacentral:rRNA from 1 species
UCGACUACGGGACGCAGCAGUGGGGAAUAUUGCACAAUGGGGGAAACCCUGAUGCAGCAACGCCGCGUGAAGGAAGACGGUUUUCGGAUUGUAAACUUCUGUUCUUAGUGAAGAAAAAUGACGGUAGCUAAGGAGCAAGCCACGGCUAACUACGUGCCAGCAGCCGCGGUAAUACGUAGGUGGCAAGCGUUGUCCGGAAUUACUGGGGGUAAAGGGAGCGCAGGCGGGAAGCCAAUUCAGCUGUGAAAACUACGGGCUUAACUUGUAGCCUGCAGUUG